rnacentral:tRNA from 1 species
AGUUAAUUAGCUUAAUUAAGCAUUUACCUUGAAAGUAAAAGAAAAGAGUUAACCUCUAUUAACUU